rnacentral:snRNA from 1 species
GAGAGAACUUAUUGGCCU